GGUGGAAAAGGCUUUCGCCCAAUCCCCGCGCGCGCUCCCAAUCCUGGUCGCGGAGUUGUUGCGCCAGAGCCCACACCCGCACCAACCCUAGCCGCCACACCUCUCCUUCCUCCCUCGCUCGACAGCGCUGCACCCCCUCCCUCCUUGCUGCUCGUCCGGAUAGCCGCCAGCCGCGGCAUCCCUUCUCCCCCUUCCUCCUCCUUCCUCCUUCCCGCUGGCGCCGACAGCGCGACCACGCCCUCCUCCGGUCCUUCCUCCCCCCCGCAGCCAGGAGUCGAGCCCUCGUCGCGAGGAAACCACGGAAGGAGGAGCUCAACCGGGCGUCACCGGCCGGAGAAGGAGGACAGUCGCGGAUGCCUGCCAAGGAGGCGGAUCGGCUCGCCUCCGUCGUCAAUACAGCCGCCGCGCCACCACCCUCCUCUGCCAGUUCUUUCGGCGAGAUCCACCGUCUCCUGAGGUCCUUAUCCACCCCAGCUCGCGAGGAAGCCUCGGGAGGAGGCGAGCCCUCGUCGCGAGGAAGCCGCAGAAGGAGGAGCUCAACCGGGCGUCGCGGGCCAGAGAAGGAGGAGAGGCGCGAAUGCCUGCCAGGGAGGCGGAUCGGCUCGUCUCCGCGGCUGGAAAGGCUCGAUGUUACAAUUACAACAUGGGGUUUCAAGUGUCUAUUACUGUGGAACACCAAUAUCCGUGCAUUUUAGUUAUGACUAAGUGCCACACGAAUGAAUGUGAAUGUCUGUUCAGGUAAUAAGUAUCACGAUUAGCAAUUUCGGUUUGUCCCCAUAGUCUAUGUUUAUCCCAUGUCCUUUCAGCACCUUCUGUUAUUUUCCUGCAUUUUUCUUCCCUUCUGCUGCAGAUUAAGUGACUGAAAGCAAACGAAUAAUUAUUCUGGACUAUUCAGAUUAUCAAGUACAGUAUACUGCAGCACAUCAGCUUCUUAAAUUUCUGUUGCAACCUAGCAUAUACCAGCAUAAAAAAGUUUCUUUUUCUCAUCAUGUAUAUUAUGUUCCUCUAAAUCACGUGUACCAUUUUCAGGUAUUAAUAGCUAUGUUUUUAAAAGCGUCCCUAAGGCGACACCUAGGCGUCGAAGCGCUCCCCCUCCGCUUUGGAAAAUCGACCGCUUUGGGCGCCUAGGCGUCCAAAGCGCCCGCCUAGGCGUCGCCUAGGCGCCAAAGCGCCCCCCCUCCCUAAGGCGUAAAGACUCGGCAUCUAUUCGUCUUGGUACAAACUAAUGUUCUAAUAAGUGUCCAUCUUGGUUCUGGUGAAUUGAUUUGGGGAACUCUUGAAAUCUGUUUCUUGUAUAUUGGCCAUGAUAACUCUUCACCUGACAUUCUACAAUGGCUUCCAGCCAGGGUUUUCUUGUUGCUGCUAUUCCUCGUGGAUAUUCAAGAGGCAACUUGGCACCUAAUGUCAACAUCAUGCUUAUUGGUGACGAGUGAAAUGAAAGAAGGCUGCAAUGGAAUUUGGAUUAGGUAUGUUUCUCCCUCUUCUCAACUCUCUCAAUCUUCAUCCCAAUUCCCGCCGAUAGUGAUUGAUAUGGGUCUGUAGCUACGUUCAAAUAUUUUCUUCCUUUCAUUAAGCAACUUCCCUCGAAAAAUAAUGUUUCAUCGUUGAGCCUCUUACAGACUACAAUACCUAUUACAGACUACAGACCACAGCUUACCUGUAACUCCAAGUCCUAUCACAAUCUUGGUGGAAUCUGAAAGACAUAACGCAUAUGCACCAAUAGACCAAAAAAUCCUCUCUAUUAUAAAAUAAAAGAAUUAACAACUUAUAGUACGCAGAAAAUAGUGGUAUUAGUUGAAACACCAUUGUAAAGAGCAAUUUCAGUUUAUUGAAGAUUCUGUCCCCUGUGGUAGGCUUUCUUUGCAAAUUCUUUAGCUUAAUUGAUGUGUACUCAUUGUAAUUUUCAGUAGCAAGUGCAUCACGUAUUUGGUUAAUGCACUGUUUUUUAUUUUCCAUCCAUAAUGAUAUUUGAAGACAAGGAAUUAGUAUGUUAUGCUUUUGGGGGUUCAAACACUUGGAUAAGAUUAAACACAUGUGCUAAAUUGGCAGUCCUUCAUCCAAAUUUUCUUGAUAAUGAUACACCAUUUGGCGACAAGUUCUCUACAAAACUGGUAUUUUUAUGACACAUGGUCGUGUAGCUGUGAUCAGAAAACGAGUUAAGAUAUAGUGGGAAAGGGACCAGAAAUGUGGUCUGUAUGACCGAAAACAUCCUAAACAAGUGAACAUAUGGUUGUUUAUUAUUUAUUAUUUUGCUCUGUUAACUAUCUGAACUCUUCUGACGGCCAUUUGUUCUCUAUUGUAUUUCUUUAGAAGUUUCUCCAUGAUGGCCUUUUCCACCUAGAAAGAGCAUCAAGGCCGUUGACCCCGUUUUUGUUCUAUAGGCAUUUGUUCUUCAAAUGAGGCUCCAACCUGAGCAAGGGCAUGGUUUGCAGAUGAUGUAUCUGCUUUAUGUGUGUCAGAAGAGCCCUCCGACGCCCAGCCGUCGGUGUCUCUUCCCGAAGAAGGAUCAUGGUUCCCCACCUCUCUACAACUCAUAUUAAAAUUUUGGUAUAUUCUUUUCUUACUUUAUAGCAAAAGAGCCCGUUGCAACCGUUGCAACGGGGUAAUAAGAUUAUGUUUCGCCACUUAUCACAAUUGCUCCAUCUCGUCAUUGUCAUCAACCUAUUCAUCCUCCUGCCCUUUUGGAAGUUUCCUUUCGCCCUUUUGCAACUUUUAUUAUGUACACGGCCUUGUGGUUUCCAUCAUCAUACUGAGCAAAUGCCAGUUAGAAAGGAGAGGUGAAUGUGAAGGCCUACUCUGAGUGCCAUCUUAAUAACUGGAGCCUCGAUCUGUUUUACUUUCCUUGUCAGCAAAAUUAAUGAUUUUGAUUUGCUUGUAUCUGGGUUAUAUAACCAAAUGCUCCUCUUGAAGCUAGUGUUCACAUCCCUUGAUGGUAAUCAUUAUAACUGCAAUAGAAGGCUGUGAUGUUGCAUCGUAUAUAUUUGGGUGGGAUCAUGCACAUGGAAAAAUUUGGUACCAACGAUGGUGAAGGGUAAGAAAGAUGUAGGUUACCUAAAAAUAUAUUCAACUUGAAAAAUGGUACUCGCUCUUUAAAGAAAUAUAAGAGUGCUUCAAUUAUUUACAGAGGGAGUACGUGUCAAAUACUGUAUGGUCGGUAGAAAGCAUCUACCUAGCUUUUGCGACAUCCGUUACUGCAGGUGUUGUUGCAGCCAGUUGGUCAGCAGGCAAGGGCAUGUACAUCAGCUUGAGCUCUAAGCAAAGAAGAUAUGUGAGGGACCGAUUCAACGGGGAUGACCGUGUCUGCCUCCCAUCGAGACAACUGCUUCUCCUGUGAGCUCCCACUCGAGGGAAGCGAGGCAUGUGGAGCCAGCUUGGUUCUCAACAUCGGCAAGCUCCCCAUCUCGUUGUAAACUUGUAGACUAAUCAAUGCCAAAUCACAAGUAUGUUUAGGGCGAUCAAAAGUUGCCGUAGUAGUACUUCUUGUGUCGGUCUCUCCAUGGAGUGCAUAUACGUAUAAAUGGUAUAAUCAAUCACAAGAUGACCAACUCCCCUAUGCUAAUAUGUGCAUACGAUGUGAUCAUCGAGGGUCCUUUAUACCAUUGAUGAUUGAUUGAUGGAAGCAAUGGCUGAUGCGAUCAAUAUAGUGGUACUAAUGUGCUCGUUCGAAAACGUGUUGCAUGGCGUCUAGAUCCAUGCGUCCACAUGCUAGGGCUGCCGCUGAAGGCGACGACAAGCGGCCCUAGCGACAAAUUUGCUGAGGCGAGCCUAUUUUUUAAGAAGCGUGUUGGUUCUGAUAUUUUUGUACAUGUGUAUAUCUAGUCCUAUGUCCACGUUCAACAGAUUCAGAUGGAAUAUCAAAGGGAGAUGAGCGAAAAAACCGCGUGUAUUGUCUGUGCCUGACUCGGACCAAUGCGACGUAAAACAUUAGGCCGACGAAAGGAUUUUUCAGGUAUGUAUGUAUAUUUAAAAUUUAUACACAUUUUCAGGUUUUUUUUUCAUAUAUAACAUGUUAUAUUUUGAGUUAGUGUUUGAUAGAUAAAUAUUUUGAAGACCAUUUUAAUCCGUGGGACGUAAAAAAUUAGGCGGGCUAAAGGAUUUUUCAGGUAUGUAUGUAUAUUUAAAAUUUAUACACAUUUUCAGUUUUUUUUUUCAUAUAUAACAUGUUAUAUUUUGAGUUAGUGUUUGAUAGAUAAAUAUUUUGAAGACCAUUUUAAUCCGUGGGACGUAAAAAAUUAGGCCGGCGAAAGGAUUUUUCGUAUGUAUAUUUAAAAUUUAUACACAUUUUUCUUAGUUUUUUUUUCAUAUAUAAGAUGUUACUUUUUGAGUUAGUGUUUGAAAGAUAAAUAUUUUGAAGACCAGUUUAAUCUGUCAGAAAAAAGAAAAAUUAAACAGGAAAAAGGUGAAAAAAGUUGAGAGGGCAGGGGAUCGAACCUGCGUCUCCCCGGUAGAAGACCCACGCUCUAGCCAACGCAAUACCUGAAUCCUUCUUUUGCAUUAGAGACAACCAACUAAAUAAACCAGAGACCACUGCCGCGACUUGUGAAAGAAAACUGAAUCGUUUUUCCUACUUAUAGGUGGCAUUGGUGGGUAAUAUUUAGCAACUUUAGGGGCAAAUUAUAUGACGUACCACCAGAAGCAAUAUCUGCUUUAUUAUUAAAAAAAAAAUUAGGGGAGAUUUCCUGUGAACAAAAAGUUGGAACCUAUUCUUAAUUUCCCAUAGUGGUUUUGAUGGUAUUUGGUCAGUGUGUUCCUGGCUGGAAUUGCAUGUAUAUCUUACAGAUUUACAUUGCAACAAUUAAUAAGGAGAAUAGAAGCAUUUGCAUCCUCUAAUACUUUGCGUGCCAUGCUUAGCGAGAAUUCAAAAUAGUGACCUUUGGAUAUCAAUUAUGGGUUUGUAAUUUCGUGCCAGGACCUAAAAGAAUUUUUGUCUCAUGCUUCGACUAUCAUAUCUAUUUUCUCUAUAAAUUCUAGACAUCCAGUUCAGAUUAUGAUCUUUGCAUGCCCUUUUUUUGUAUCUUCUGAAAUUGGCCAACAUUACAAAAAAGAGCCACAUGUUUUAGAAAUUGAAUCACCAUGACAACUUUUCAGGUUAUGGUUCUUUAGCCAUUUAAUGCAGUAUCAAUGGUUCAGUGUGCUUCAUGAAAUGAAACAUAAUGUAUAGCUCAGCAAUUUUGAGACUUACCCGCAUAUUUUUGCUUCACCCGUCACCACAGAGGUCUUACCUCACCUUGACCAUGGAGCCACUAGGAGUAUGAUCAAUAUAUGAUCAUUCUUAGAGUUGAAAUCAAUUGCUUCCUUCAUCAAGUGAUUCAUAGUAAACCAGUGAACAUGAAUUUUAUGUGUAUAUAUUACUUCUUUGUUUGCCAUUUAUUUUGUUAAAAAUAUUUAUAUGACAUUUUUCAAAGAGCUUAAGGUUAGAGAUGUGGUGCUGUAUGAGGCUAUUGUUAGGAUGGAAGAUAAAUUAAUGUUAAAAUAUUUUUGAUUUCCUUUAUUCCGUAAACGGCAAUACAAGAUAUGUUUGGGCCACAUGAUUCUAUUCCAAAAAUUUAAACAACUUGGCAAUUAACAACACAUCAAAUGUUAUGUAUUGAAAAUUUGAAAUGGAUCACUUUGUCAGGUUGGGUUUUAGUAGGUCAUAAUGGUUUUAUUCUAUGACAAGCUUAAUUUGUUUAUAAUGUAACCAGUUCAAGGAUUGACGAGUUUUUGAGCCCUAUGACCUUUGUACACUCAGGUUCGGCUGUGUUCUUUGUGAAGUAUACGUCAUGCAAGGCUCAUGUGCGUUGCACUUUUUUCACUUUCCAAGCUACAGUCUAUACUCCCUCUGUAAACUAUUAUACUCCAAGCUACAAUCUUUAGUGAUCUGAACGGUCUUAUAUAAAUUACAAAGGGAGUACUUGAAAGGAUAUUCUUUGUAUGUUAUUUGAUUCCAUCAGCCGUACAACCUAAAUUAGCAAUUAGGUAUCUACACAGUGCAGUGGAACCAUUGUGCUUGCUGUAUUUUUAUUUUAGCGUUGAAAUGUUCUUCUUAGUUUGUUCUGUACUGAGAAAUUUUUUUGUUUUCCGGCCAUUGUUUACUAAAUCAUAUAAACAUAUUACCUUAUAUGGCCUUUGAAGUUUCCGUUUUAUAAAGAGCUUUGCACUGAUCAACUUGAGUAUGGUAUGGUUUAUUCUUUUGUGUUGCAGCUAUUCCAGAGAAGUUUAGAGCUCCACAACCUUAGCAGAGAUAAAACAAUCAAUCAGCUGAGAUGCAUCACAUGAUCUUUUUCUCUUGACUUUGAUGGGUAUUGAACCCAUAGAUUAGCUUAUCAAUGGAACUCUUAUCAGCGUUGAGAAGGUGGCACAAAAUCUCAUUCACAGGGCGAUCAGCUAAGAAGCAUCGGGAAGGACUUUUAGGAUGGUACAUCGGUCAAAUGCAUCCUAGGAUAGGUCCUUUAAGAAUUAUGGUGUGUUUCCCUCCUUUUGUUUACCAUAGGCACAGAGGUUUAGCCUCAAUUUAUUAUGAUAUUUUUGUUUAGAGUAGAUGCAGAACUGAGACUUACCCAGGUUGUGAGAGUUGGUGAUGAUUCUAUUAAAAGUCCCUUGUUGCCUGCAA